rnacentral:rRNA from 1 species
AGCAGCCGCGGUAAUUCCAGCUCCAAUAGCGUAUAUUAAAGUUGUUGCAGUUAAAAAGCUCGUAGUUGAAUUUCGGGAUCAAUACGUCGGUCGUGCUUUCGGGUACGUACUGGUGUCAUUGGUUUCUCCUUUCUGACGAGCCGUGAUGUCAUUAAUUUGGUGUUACGGGUAGUUAGGGCUGUUACUUUGAAAAAAUUAGAGUGUUUAAAGCAGGCAUUAGCUUGAAUACAUUAGCAUGGAAUAAUGAAAUAGGACGUUCGAUCCUAUUUUGUUGGUUUCUAGGAUCAACGUAAUGAUUAAUAGGGAUAGUUGGGGGCAUUAGUAUUCAAUUGUCAGAGGUGAAAUUCUUGGAUUUAUUGAAGACUAACUACUGCGAAAGCAUUUGCCAAGGAUGUUUUCAUUAAUCAAGAACGAAAGUUAGGGGAUCGAAGACGAUCAGAUACCGUCGUAGUCUUAACCAUAAACUAUGCCGACUAGGGAUCGGAUGAUGUUAAUUUUUUAAUGACUCAUUCGGCGCCUU